ACUAUAAUUACUUGUUCCCCCUACAUCCUCAUGCUCAACCUGCGUUGUGCCAAACAAGUUCGUCAUCAAUAUCAAGCAACAUUUUCAACAAAAUAUCACACAUCCUAUGAAUAAAUUGUGACUUCUUCCUUAUCAUCUCGUGUGUUCUUUCACUAGCCUCGACUAGAGCAAUCACAAAAUCAAAAUCCCAAUCCUUUCUUCUAAACUAUCCGUCUCAGCUAUCUGCAACAUUGCACCCACCAGUCCACUAUUUGCUUCCUCAAGAACCUUGGAUCAGUCCCUGCUAAUUCAAUCAACAAUUCCUCAAUGUUUCUUAAGUUGUAGCCUCUUGACCACUGUUCAUUGCCUCAGUCAACAUCCUAUCAUCGAUGGCAAUAAGUCCUGAAACUUUUUCCCAAUCACUCAAGCUCGAUAAAAAACUCAACAAAAUUCACAACAGCACUCAAUGUAGCUAUCCUAACAUCCAGGUACAGGGAACUACUCAACGUAUGCAAGAACACCAAAUCCAGUACAAUUAAUAUUUCACCCACUUACUAUGUAAAUUUAUUGAAUCAGAAGUA
rnacentral:lncRNA from 1 species